UACCCACCGACAGCGGCGGUGAGGCUGAAACCGGAGCCCGGUGGACCGGACACGCAGCGGGGACCGGGGACCGGGGACUGGGGGGGCCGACUGACAGGCACCGGCCGCGGGCCCAGGACGAGCCUCCCUCCGCCUGAACUCCCGGGGAAAAACACGUAAGUUAUCUGCGAGUGCGAGCCGAAUGCUGCGUAUGUGAGCGUCGUGAAUACCACUAUGCGAUUCACAACCAGGCGAGAGCUGGGUGGGAAUAAAAAAGGAAAAACACCACAAGCGCAAAGUGUGAAGAAUCUCAAAGGGAAUAGAAAGUGUUCGUGUUCGCCAUCCCAGCGUGUGCGAGGGGGGAAUUCACGACGGGGAAAAACGUCGUAUGCACUUUUAUUCCCCCCCCCCCCCACACACACACACACACACACUCUCACCACCUCCUCCUCCCUUCGCUCAUCAGGAGUGUUUCAUCAUCGACAUGACAACAGGUAAAUGGAACUGCGUCAGCGAGAGAGAGAGGGAGCCGAGAGAAGAAAACCACACGCCAUCACACCAGAGGGUAUUUCCGCUGCUGCGAUGGUUGGGGACAGUGAGGAAGAACUUGCGCUGCGUCCGAAUUCGACGUUUGAGAAAAGAAACUACGAUGGUAAACAAACGUGGAAUCCGGCCGGGGGGGUGGGGGCUGGCGUGUGAAGGAGGAAGGAGCUCGGAAUAGGAUGCUGCGCAAGAGAUGGGUAGUGCGUAAUCCUUGUUGUGGGAGAGGACGCGGUGUUACGCAGUUGGUAUUGGCACGGCCGUUUAACACCUCAUGGCCUCGUGCUCUCUCUCUUUUUUUUUUUAUGGCGUUAUCGAAUGUCACCGCCUGAUUUUUUUCUACAAACACAAUAACACCGGACGGACUUUCUUCUCACUGACGCGCAGGCAGAAGGAGAGGGCUCUGCUGUGGCGUUUGCGUAAUUCCCGGCAGGAAACUUGACGCGUCACAAGCGAGCGGCACAACGGUGACGCAGCUUGUUUGGUUUGCUCCAUGUGUUCCAACAACAGUCGCUGCGUCACAGAGGAACCCGGGAGGACCAUUCAUAGUAAUCAGGCUCCUCUUCGUGCGCACUUGAGACGAUGAAAACAAGCCGUGCUGCCCCGGACAGUAGGGGGCGCUGCCGAGCAACACAAAUCCCUCUGGCGUCACCUAUCUGCUGAGGGACGUUGACGUACAGGUAUUUCUCAUCUCUACCUGAAAACAGCUUCUGCACCAUUUCCUUUUGUCUUUAUCUCUUGGGUUCUGUUUUGUAUUCAUAACAUUGGCACAAGCUGUGAUUAUAUAACUCCAAACUAAAUUGUAAUUUUAGAAUUUCCAUAACUUGGCUGUAUUUGUUUGUUCCUCAGAGUUGUGUGUUCUUUUGCCGUUUAGCUGAUUUGCCUCCACCUGCGUCGGAGCCUGCAAUGGACGCCAGCCAGCGCUCAGCAGGACACGGACACGCCUGAUGUGAUGACACAAGUUGCUGUUGACUCAGAGGCCGCGGGCCUCUUGCACCUUCCUAAUGACCCAUGUGGAGAGAGCAAAAAGGGCGUGGUGCCUUCCUACCUCCGCUCACCUGCCAGAGGGACAGGAGAUGAAGUGCUUUACUCGCCCUCGGAGAGCUUCUUAGGGAGGGGCGCUGCCUCUCGAGUCAAACAAACAGCAGAGCACAGCAGCACAAGAGGCCCCAAAUGAGCUGCUUUCAACUCAGUUUCAUUCAGAGUUCUCGGAGGAAUGUCUCAAUAAUGAGGCAGCCAAAUGCAAUUCCGCCGAAAGCCAGAUGCAGCCGGAGAUCACUUCUAAAACACAGCGGAGAGCUGAUGUGGAUGUUUCUGGGGCCGGCAUCACCUGUAGACCUCUUGAACCGACCGAGGGAAAAUGUCUGAACGACCCACUGCCUUCUAAAACAGAUCCCUCCUACGCACAGAUUAUAGGAAAGGAGGUGGCCCCGAGCUGAGAGAUGACAGUGCUAAAAUUAAACUCGGAGCGCCGCUGGCCUCGCUAGAUGAUGAUGUAUUAUUAGACAAGUGUGAGGCAGCACUCAUUCGCAGGUAUCAUUAGCAACCGGAAAACUAAUGGGCUGCAAAAUAAGGGGAGGGGGUACUGUAGGCCACUUUGCUGAAACACUUCUUACUGCCAUGAUUAAUCACCUCAAUUGGACUUCUGUAAAGAUUUCUGGAACAGGAGCAAUUCUAAGGAGGAGGAUGAAAUAGUGACGCAGCUGGUGUUUCUUUGCAACAUUUGCUGAUAAUCAUUUGGGGAUGCCGGCCAGAUUUCCUCCCUCUCUUCCUGAAGACCUGAUAUGUUUUCACAAAGACACCCAGUAGCCCUGUAGCUAUUUCAAACGGGUAUCUUUACUUUUAUCUGUGGCCAUUCAGCUCAUAGAGUCGCUCCUGUUAUCAGCAGCUCCUCUGAUAUUUCCCAACAACACGAGUCGGAGCCAGAACAGAGUGACAAAGUGUAAUUCGCCUCUUCUAUUUUCAUCCACCGUGCAGCAGACAGAACAAACAAAGUGUCGGGCUCAUCUGAACGUGUUAAGGAUCCGAAUAUUUACCAGUUGGCUGCACGGAGGAGAAGCAGAGGCAGCUUGGAAGGAGUUAUCUAAGCUAUUAAAUGAUCCACAGAGUUUAUGUGUGGUUGAGCAAAUUGAGCAGGAAACUAGGCUCAAGCCACCGUUGGCUUUGAUUUGUUCUGAAAAGUAUCAUGUGAUUCCUGUAAACAUGUAAUAGUGUGACUUUAAUAGCAAGUUUAACUGGUUUUAUUGUCACAAAGCCACAUUUAUAAACAUAUCUGAGCUUGUUCUUUA